AUAANGUUGAUUUUCCCGGAAACACAAAAAUCGAAGAACAACGUUGAAGAAAUCGCUUCUAAAAAGUACGCUUAUAAUAUAGAGGGUGUAUAUAUUUUAUCUGAAAGAGUUUUAAAAAUGUAUACUACGAAAACUCUAAAAAAAACUACUCGAAAACUUUUCGAAUUAAGUUAAUAAAAAAAAAUUUUUCAUUUUCAUUGUAAAAAAAAAUAGUUCCGCUUGCCUCACAUAAGGUCCACUUAAUAUAUUUUAGUACAUUCACACACUACCACAACUAUUGGUUUUACAAUACGCAGAUUGCCCACUAAAUGUUAAUAUUUGGCCAUAUUCUCUAAGCUAAAGCCAAAUAUCCAUAUACCAUCGGCUAGUAGUGGUAGGGUCA